rnacentral:lncRNA from 1 species
AAAAAUUCAAAGUCAAAUCCCUUCUCACCAAGUGGACAGACAGUGUGCAGUAAGCCUCAACUGGGCCUUCCUUAGAAGAUGCAGAGAUUUCUUUGGAAGGGAAGAACAAAGUCAAUGAAUGAAAAUUAUAUGCUCUUGUUUGUUUUACAAAACUAGCAAGGGAAUAGGGGAGCUGGGCUUUCAUUGCCAUUCUCAAAAAAGAAAAAAAAAAAGAGAAUUCUCAGGGAAUGAGCAACAACUCUCAGCUAUGCCUCUUUUUCUUGCUUUUGCUAACAUCCACUGUAGCCUCUCCAGGGCUCUCUCUGUGCUUGGGGAGUAAUGCAUGAAAAUCCUUCUGCCUCCAGAAGAAAAUAUGGUCUUCUCUUCCUUGCCUGGUUUGAAGGGGACACUUUGAGAGCCUCACCCAAAUGGCUGGAUUCCUCAAAAUAAACCAAUGGAGCAAAACAGCAGUACCUGGCAAAGCUUGAGUGCUUGCGGCUGGGACAAAAUUUCAGACAGAUUCAGUUGAUGUACAACUGAAGAUAAGCCUUAAAACUGGAAGGAAAACCACGGAAUGUAAAAGGACACAUUAGCAUGUAAAGCCUGGUGCCCGCUCAUCUGCAGAUGAAAGGUCACAAAGAAGAUAUUUGCAACGAGGAACAGCAAGUUGUGACCACUCUCCAGAUCUGUACCCGUCAGACAGAGGUUGACACCUGUGACAGGUACAUUCUGAUUUCCACAUGCCUUGUGCAAAAUCAGACGUGCUCACAACAGCAUGGCAGCCAAAUGUCAAGUACUUCACCUCUCAGCAUGGAGAC